GAGGACACACAGUCCCUUGUACUUGUGCAACAUAAAUUCCCAUCGAUUUUCCUUAGAGUUCAUUUCAGGGCCCACACUUUCCCCUGCUCUCUUUGCUUUUUGGUGAUCUGUUUCCCUUGGCAGCUGCUCUGAGGUAUACAAGACUCAGAUGGGAGGAAUGGAGGCAUCUGGGAGAUCAGCUGUACCCAAUCCUCUCAUUUGACAGAGGAGAGAAUGGAGGUCCAGAGGGGUAACACAGGACCCCAGGAGUCUACAGAAAGGUUGGAGGCAGUGUCACCUUUCUGGUUGGAGGUCUGGCUUCCUCAGUGACUUUUGAAGGGCAAGAUGAUGGAACCCAGAAGAGGAGGACUGAGAACUCCUCCAGGGUGAACUUUAGCCAGUGGAAACGAGGAAAUGGGAGGGUGUCUGCAGAUAAAUCCUGUUUUCUUUUUCCAUGGGUCUAUUUUUUUUCCUAUACAUCACAUGUGGAGAUGUCCAGUAUGAUGGAGUGACUCUUUGAGCGUCUUUGCAGUAUAUUAAAGUAUUGCCAGCUGGGUAA